CAAUCGUGCGACGCGUGCGAAUUCACAGGGAUCAAAUAUGGAAAUUUUCCAGGUCCCAAAAUGCUUCAUUAAGGCACGGACCCAUUUGCAAACAUGCGCGAAUUACAGAACCAAAUUUAGAAAAACGAAACAAAAUAAGCGAGGCGCAAUUGAAUGCUCGUGUGAAAGGGGAGGACCCAUCGUGUAAUUAUCCCCUCACUGCAGAAGCACGCGGAUCCCAGGGGCAAUCGGGUCGGGUCAAAUCAGGUGGCCCUAUACGACGCCGUUUUGAAGCCAUUGCAAAGGGCUCUAAACGACGUCGUUUGAUGAUGUAUAAAACAAAAAAAAAAACCUAAAAACCUAAACACCUAAUCAUUCUUCAAAAAGAAAAACAAAAAAAAAAGAAAAAGAAAAAUAGAAAGCCCUAAAUGCUCUCUCAACCUUCCCCCUAUUCUUUCUCGCCCUCAAACUCUGGCCUUGGGGACUGCCGAGUUCAUGUCAUCGGACACCAACGACUGCACAACCGUCUGUGGUGACCUUAAAACGCCCAUUUUCGAGCUCUCUUGGAGAUGAAGUCGCCGGCCUUCGCGAGGAAAGUGAGGAAAGAGAGAAAAUGGGAAAGUUUCUUUGAAACCCGUCGUGUCGUCGAACCCCGAAUAGGACCCCAAGGGAUUUUGGGCCUUGGCGCCGAAGAGAAAGACCUACGGAGGAAGACGAAACACCUCCAGUCUAUGUAGGAGGUCAACGAUGCGGAGGUUACCAUUUUGGUGCAACGAGACAGGAGAGCCGAGCCUUGGGUGUUGGUCUUACCGACGAAGCACGUGGGUGGCAGAAGACGGGUACGGCGCACUAGGGGAAACUAGGGUUAGACUUGGCUGAGAUUUGGGUUUAGGUUGGGCCUAUCGGGCCAUCCGGGUUUGGGCUUAGUUGGGUUUGGGUUGGGUAAGAUUUGGGCUUUAUUGGGCUGUUCUUGUAAUUAGAUUUCAGUUUAUAUUUCUGUUUUCUUUGGGUUGAUUAACAA